GUAGAAAGGACACAUCACUGCAUCAGGUUCCUGGGAGUGCUGAAGGCCCAGGACAUGGCCAAACUCGUGAGCAGCCACCUGCAGGAGAUCAGUGCCUUAACAAGGACGGAAGAGACAAUGAGUCAAAGUGGACUUCUCCUUCUCUGUGUGUACGGGGAAAGAAAGCAUGGGCCAGUAUUCCUCCAGGACCGUCAAAUGAGUUUCUGAACUUCAACGGGUUCAAGACCCACAUCUUCAGGUGAACCAGAACUUUGUUGUUUGGGCCCCUAAAGUUGACCUCCUACAAACGAAGAGGACGAUUCAAGAUUCAAGGAGUGAACCAAACAGUACAGGUGCAGGAUCUUAUGAGUAUGGUGUGCUGUUUGAUUGCAGUCUACAUGUUGCUCAGUCAGUCAGCACAAGUUUGAACCCCCACCCGCUGCAACAUGACCUGCCUCUGCCUGCACAAUCUCAGGCUUUCACCCCACAAAGACGGUCUGGCAUCCAUAAAAUCCAUCAAGCUGCAGAGAGUUUGGAAGAAAAGCUGUCUUAAUUCCUCACAGAGCUGUGACACCGUUCAAAGAGAUGCCAAAUCAGAGCAUCAGAACCGCAUCGACUCACAAACACCCAGCAUCCUGUCGUUAAGCCGCGGCUUUGUCCGGAUCCCUCCGCGGUGGUUGUUCGGUCGGACUCACCUGCUGCUGCCGCGUGGGGCUCCGCUCGUGGACCGGCGGCGCGCGGACGAACAGGCAAAGGUG